GACGAACGCUGGCGGCGUGCUUAACACAUGCAAGUCGAACGGUGAAGGGGCCUGCUUUUGUGGGCCCUGGAUGAGUGGCGAACGGGUGAGUAACACGUGAGUAACCUGCCCCCUUCUUCUGGAUAACCGCAUGAAAGUGUGGCUAAUACGGGAUAUUCUGGGUCUGUCGCAUGAUGGGUCUGGGAAAGAUUGCGCCUUUGGGUGUUUUUGGUGGGGGAUGGGCUCGCGGCCUAUCAGCUUGUUGGUGGGGUGAUGGCCUACCAAGGCGGUGACGGGUAGCCGGCCUGAGAGGGUGGACGGUCACACUGGGACUGAGACACGGUCCAGACUCCUACGGGAGGCAGCAGUGGGGAAUAUUGCACAAUGGGCGCAAGCCUGAUGCAGCGACGCCGCGUGAGGGAUGGAGGCCUUCGGGUUGUAAACCUCUUUCGCCAGUGAAGCAGGCCUGCUCCUUGUGGGUGGGUUGACGGUAGCUGGAUAAGAAGCGCCGGCUAACUACGUG
rnacentral:rRNA from 1 species